rnacentral:rRNA from 1 species
AGAGUUUGAUCAUGGCUCAGAUUGAACGCUGGCGGCAGGCUUAACACAUGCAAGUCGAGCGGAAACGAUGGUAGCUUGCUACCAGGCGUCGAGCGGCGGACGGGUGAGUAAUACUUAGGAAUCUACCUAGUAGUGGGGGAUAGCACGGGGAAACUCGUAUUAAUACCGCAUACGACCUACGGGAGAAAGGGGGCAGUUUACUGCUCUCGCUAUUAGAUGAGCCUAAGUCGGAUUAGCUAGAUGGUGGGGUAAAGGCCUACCAUGGCGACGAUCUGUAGCUGGUCUGAGAGGAUGAUCAGCCACACCGGGACUGAGACACGGCCCGAACUCCUACGGGAGGCAGCAGUGGGGAAUAUUGGACAAUGGGGGAAACCCUGAUCCAGCCAUGCCGCGUGUGUGAAGAAGGCCU